GAUCGAUAGAGCCUUCUGGUAUAGUUCUCGAGCUGUGGAAAUGUUUCCUUCUUUCCACUCCAUCCAACCCCAAGCAAUCCAAACUGGUUGAUGCCUUGGAUCCAGUUGAGAUGCUCUUCGGAAUAGAACUCGUGCAAGGUUUGCACUGGAGUUCUUGUAUUCUAUCAAACCAAGUGAUUGGAGAAGAACAGGAUCUCUAGGAUUCACCAUGUGCCCUAU
rnacentral:misc_RNA from 1 species